AAAAAUAUGAUGAAGUAAGCCUUUUUCCCCCCAACACGACGCUUCUGAAUGAGCUGAGGCUGUGUUUGCCUUGCUGUGAAACAGCAACAGGAGUUAAAGAAGGCACUGAACAUCUGAGAUAACAGCGUGUGGGCGCACACAACAUCACUUAGCCAAAUCGCUGGGCACAUGGGACUAUUAAACCAUCAUCUUAUUUGAAACCAUGAGGAAAACAAAAACAAACAAACAAAAAAACACUGAAACAAAAAUGAGACAUGACCACAUAAGGUGUGGGAAGAUGAAGUUACAGCUACAGUAAUCAGAGCAGAUUUUCUUCUCUCCAGCAGGUGGUAGGAUUUUCUCAGCUACACGCAGGCAAUAGCAAGAAGAAUCACUCAAAUCCUAAUCUCUGAAGAAGAAAUUCUCUGCCUUUUUUGACUUGCAAAUUCCUAAAAAUUCCUGUGGAGUUAGGAUAACAAAAUUAAGCCAUUGGAAGAAAUUUGCAUGCUACCUGGCAUGACUGCUAUCAGUAGUCCGUGUAACUGGGGUUUAAACCAUGUGUUAUAGCUUUUCCAUGAUACAUGUGAAAGUCCAUAGACAGCAUUUUCUCCCACAGUUUGACAUGCAGUUUAGAGAGAUCAGAUAAAAAAAAUGUGCCCUGUAGAAGGUUAUUUCAGCUUUCGAGUCUGAACUUUUAUGAAACUCUCAAUGAAGGGCAAAUCUUUUGUUCUCUUAAUGCAAGCAAAAAUUAAAAUAGAUGGAAAUUCAAGCACAUUUUCUUCAAGAAGGUAGUAGAAGAGGAUUGAACAAGGCAGUGUGGUUUCUGAAUGAGUACAUUCAUCCUUUUCAAAAUCAAGGUCUGAACCGCAUGGUGUGGACCUGAACAGAGCCUUGAACAGAGCAAGGGAACCAAGUGCCCAGCUGUGUCCUGCGUGUGCCGGAGCGAGGCUGACUGCAUUACUCGGCAAAGGGAGCCGGGGAGCGAUUAGGUGGUGUGAUGGAGAUGUUUGACUCCUUCUGAGGAGGAGGAGGGCACAAUUGGGUCAGAACUGCUGGGGAGAGAGAUGCUCGCCGAGGCUUUGUACGAAGUCAUCAGGCAGUGGGAUACUGACUGCGGCGUGCAGAACAAAUUAGGACCCCGUCUGUAAUUGGCACCAGUGAAGUACCGUAGCUUGAAAGUACAGGUAGUCACAUCAGCUACUGGAGCAAGUUCAUGCUAAUAAUUUGACCCUCUCAGCUCAUUAAAAAGCAAAACACAAGGCAGAGAGCAGCAGAGACGUUGAAUAAGACUGCUCAUUAUUCAAGUCAGUUGAAGCUGGGUGAAGAGCUGGAAUGUAUUCCCCAGAAGUGACAAAGAGAAGGCA
rnacentral:lncRNA from 1 species